rnacentral:rRNA from 1 species
CGCAAGCCUGACGGAGCAAGACCGCGUGCGGGAUGACGGCCUAAUGGUUGUAAACCCCUUUUCUCUGGGAAGAAGACUGACGGUACCAGAGGAAUCAGCCUCGGCUAACUCCGUGCCAGCAGCCGCGGUAAUACGGAGGAGGCAAGCGUUAUCCGGAAUUAUUGGGCGUAAAGCGUCCGUAGGUGGUUAUUCAAGUCUGCUGUCAAAGCGUGGGGCUUAACUCCAUAGAGGCAGUGGAAACUGAGUGACUAGAGUGCGGUAGGGGUCGAGGGAAUUCCCAGUGUAGCGGUGAAAUGCGUAGAUAUUGGGAAGAACACCAGUGGCGAAAGCGCUCGACUGGGCCUGCACUGACACUGAGGGACGAAAGCUAGGGGAGCG